rnacentral:rRNA from 1 species
GAUGAACGCUGGCGGCGUGCCUAAUACAUGCAAGUCGAGCGAACAGACGAGGAGCUUGCUCCUCUGACGUUAGCGGCGGACGGGUGAGUAACACGUGGAUAACCUACCUAUAAGACUGGGAUAACUUCGGGAAACCGGAGCUAAUACCGGAUAAUAUAUUGAACCGCAUGGUUCAAUAGUGAAAGACGGUUUUGCUGUCACUUAUAGAUGGAUCCGCGCCGCAUUAGCUAGUUGGUAAGGUAACGGCUUACCAAGGCAACGAUGCGUAGCCGACCUGAGAGGGUGAUCGGCCCCUCUAGAACUGAGACACAGUCCAGCCUCCUACGGGAGGCAGCAGUAGGGAAUCUUCCGCUAUCGGCGAAAGCUAGACGGAGCAACGCCGCGUGAGUGAUGAAGGUCUUCGGAUCGUAAAACUCUGUUAUUAGGGAAAAACAAAUGUGUAAGUAACUAUGCACGUCUUGACGGUACCUAAUCAGAAAGCCACGGCUAACUACGUG